GUCACUUCCGGAGGCGGAGCGAGCGGAGAGCAGACAGCUCCGUGAAGGAGAAACACUUUUUUUUUUGGUCCCAGUUGUCUUCAUGCAGUGGGAGUCCCCGCUCGAGUCCAGUGCCAAACCAGCAUGGAAUCUUUUCUGAAGACAUUGUAAGUGGCGAUUAAACCAACGCCCGUGGUGCUAACGGUGUCCAAAGCUCAAGGGACACAAGGACAAGAUGGGGAGCUAUGACCAAGUUUGUGCACAUGCCAUCAGUGGCAACUACAUCACGACUAUCUCCUGGCCACAAACUAUGUGAGAUGCCAUCGAUGACAACACAUGACCUUAUUUCAGAGAUGUAAAAAUAUUUUUUAAAAGCUAUCAUAAGUUUGAUGGAAUACAAUAUUAAAAUUUAAAUGUCU